AGCUUUGCGCAGUGGCAGUAUCGUAGCCUAUGAGGUUUAUCCGAGGCGCGAUUAUUGCUAGUUGAAAACUUUACCCAAUACCCCGCCUUGACGACUUGAAAUAUAGUCGGCGACGGCAAUUUUUGACGGUCUCUAAGGAGA
rnacentral:snRNA from 1 species